rnacentral:rRNA from 1 species
GACGAACGCUGGCGGCGUGCUUAACACAUGCAAGUCGAGCGGAAAGGCCCUUCGGGGUACUCGAGCGGCGAACGGGUGAGUAACACGUGGGUAACCUGCCCCUUGCUCUGGGAUAACUCCGGGAAACCGGGGCUAAUACCGGAUACGACCACUUUAGGCAUCUUCGGUGGUGGAAAGUUUUUCGGCGAGGGAUGGACCCGCGGCCUAUCAGCUUGUUGGUGGGGUAAUGGCCUACCAAGGCAGUGACGGGUAGCCGGCCUGAGAGGGCGACCGGCCGACACUGGGACUGAGACACGGCCCAGACUCCUACGGGAGGCAGCAGUGGGGAUAUUGCGCAAUGGGCGAAAGCCUGACGCAGCGACGCCGCGUGAGGGAUGAC